rnacentral:rRNA from 1 species
AGAGUUUGAUCAUGGCUCAGGAUGAACGCUAGCGGCAGGCUUAACACAUGCAAGUCGAGGGGUAACAGGGAAGCUUGCUUCCGCUGACGACCGGCGCACGGGUGCGUAACACGUAUGGAAUCUGCCCUUUACUGGGGAAUAGCCCGGAGAAAUCCGGAUUAAUGCCCCAUAUUAGACGAGAUGGCAUCAUCUUGUCUUGAAAGCUCCGGCGGUAAAGGAUGACCAUGCGCACGAUUAGUUUGUUGGUGAGGUAACGGCUCACCAAGACUACGAUCGUUAGGGGGCCUGAGAGGGUUAUCCCCCACACUGGUACUGAGACACGGACCAGACUCCUACGGGAGGCAGCAGUGAGGAAUAUUGCGCAAUGGAGGCAACUCUGACGCAGCCAUGCCGCGUGCAGGAAGAAGGCGCUACGCGUUGUAAACUGCUUUUAAACGGGAAGAAACCCCGGGACGUGUCCCGGGUUGACGGUACCGUUGGAAUAAGCACCGGCUAACUUCGUGCCAGCAGCCGCGGUAAUACGAAGGGUGCAAGCGUUAUCCGGAUUCAUUGGGUUUAAAGGGUGCGUAGGCGGAACAAUAAGUCAGCGGUGAAAGCCUGCAGCUUAACUGUAGAAUUGCCGUUGAUACUGUUGUUCUUGAGUACGUUUGACGUGGGCGGAAUGUGCCGUGUAGCGGUGAAAUGCUUAGAUAUGGCACAGAACACGAUAGUGAAGACAGCUCACGAAGACGAAACUGACGCUGAGCACGAAAGCGUGGGGAGGAACAGGAUUAGAUACCCUAGUAGUCC